rnacentral:rRNA from 1 species
GAAGCUUUGGGCGCGGCACCGACCGAGUCCCCUGGAACGGGGCGCCAUAGAGGGUGAGAGCCCCGUAUGGUCGGACGCCUAGCCUGUGUAAAGCUCUUUCGACGAGUCGAGUAGUUUGGGAAUGCUGCUCAAAAUGGGAGGUAAAUUUCUUCUAAAGCUAAAUACCGGCCAGAGACCGAUAGCGCACAAGUAGAGUGAUCGAAAGAUGAAAAGCACUUUGAAAAGAGGGUUAAAUAGCACGUGAAAUUGUUGAAAGGGAAGCGCUUGUGACCAGACUUGCGCCCGGCUGAUCAUCCGGUGUUCUCACCGGUGCACUCUGCCGGGCUCAGGCCAGCAUCGGUUCUCGCGGGGGGACAAAGGCCCAGGGAACGUGGCUCCUCCGGGAGUGUUAUAGCCCUGGGUGCAAUGCCCUCGCGGGGACCGAGGUUCGCGCAUCUGCAAGGAUGCUGGCGUAAUGGUCAUCAGCGACCCGUCUUGAAACACGGACCAAGGAGUCAAGGUUUUGCGCGAGUGUUUGGGUGUAAAACCCGCACGCGUAAUGAAAGUGAACGUAGGUGAGAGCUUCGGCGCAUCAUCGACCGAUCCUGAUGUUUUCGGAUGGAUUUGAGUAGGAGCGUUAAGCCUUGGACCCGAAAGAUGGUGAACUAUGCUUGGAUAGGGUGAAGCCAGAGGAAACUCUGGUGGAGGCUCGCAGCGGUUCUGACGUGCAAAUCGAUCGUCAAAUCUGAGCAUGGGG